AGCGUCUCUCCACAUUUUCCAGGUCGCAUUUCUGUUACCACAGAAAGAAAGGCUGAAUCGGCCCAAUUAGCUUUGUUCCCAUAUCCCAGCUCUCCUACUUCCUUUUGUUAUCCCCUUUGGCUAGAAAAGUUGGAACGGGAGGUCACUGUCUUUGAACGUGGUUGGAUUGUUGACCUGCAUAAGUAAGCCUAAUGACUGCCAGACCGGUACAAUCAAGGGAUAUCCUGUCUGACAACAUGAAGUAGGCCUAGACAUCUCAAAAGCCAACACAUCAUGCUCUGAACUAAAGGAAUUCAAGAACAGAAAGGUCUACAGUCCAGAUCCAGGACAACAUGGUGCACAUGAGGCGCAUAAGACUUCACAUGCUCUAUGUGCUGAAUAUUUAUUACCCACGGUGCACCGGUGAGGUCCCUUAAAAGAGAAGCUAU